rnacentral:rRNA from 1 species
UACGGGGGGAGCAAGCGUUGUUCGGAUUUACUGGGCGUAAAGGGCGCGUAGGCGGUCGUGACAAGUCACUUGUGAAAUCUCCGGGCUUAACUCGGAACGGUCAAGUGAUACUGUCGGACUAGAGUACAGAAGGGGCAACUGGAAUUCUCGGUGUAGCGGUGAAAUGCGUAGAUAUGCGGAGGAACACCGAUGGCGAAGGCAAUCCCCUGGGCCUGCACUGACGCUCAUGCACGAAAGCGUGGGGAGCAAACAGG